AAGAACACGCUCAUCGCUAUGCCCUCUCUUCUGGCCAGUUCCUCUCCCGAAACUGCUGCAUGACAUGAAAAUACCAGCAUGUGACAGCGAGUAUCUCAUCCACCCUCCCAAAAAAGGAGAAGCAAGGAGAACAGCAGCUGUUUCUUUGCCAGUUAAAUAAGGAAUUUUUAUUAUCCCAUAAGAACUCCCCAGGGAAAAGAUUAGGGAAUUGGAGAUAAACUCAUUCUUAUCAGAUAACAAAACAAUAAGCCGAACACUUGAGGGCUCUAACAGAGCAAAUAACAAUGAGGUUAUUUAUUCCUUGUGAAACUUGGUUGCAUGGAGCAUUUAAAUUGCAAGAGGGAUUCUUGGAAGCAGCAAACAUGAACUCUUUUAUUCAUCUGAGCUUCCUGCGGCAACAGGCCUCCCACAGCCACGAACGACCCAGAGGAGUGAGAGUCUGGGGUACAGACUGGGAAAGGACCUCUGCUCUUGGGGUGCAGCCUCUCCAUGGCCAGCCUGGGGGGUGGCACCGCCUGGGAGGGAUCAUUUCACUGCCCGUCCAUGGGCCAUGCACAUCAAGCGAACCGUCCCCUCUGAAUGUCACUGGAGGCUGGAGGGGUGCAGGCGUGCUGUCCUCGGCUCCCGCGAGGGGCAGUCAGGGUUCCACUGAGGUAAGCAGGGGGCUGGAUUCCUCCGGAGACUGCGCCUAACCCCUGCAUCAGGAGCCAGAGGGGCAGGGAGGGCUCACGGCUCUGGAACCGUCCCUUCUGCUCUGUGUCUUCUUUUUGCACAGCAAGGCACUAUUCACACGCACCGUACUUCCAGUGCUCCGGAACAUUCUCCAGGUUAGAGUGCAUGUCUCUGUCUCCGUGAGGCAGAGGCCUGAGGUGGGCCUGGUAAAAGGACUCCUCCCGUGGGGCCCAACAAGGGAGAGGACCCUGCUGUCCUGCUUCUCUCCUGCGUCCCUCAGGUGGGUGCCAAACAGCAUGAGGCAGGCUUCAUGGGGGUGGGACCAGGCAGGGCUGGAGCUCAGGGAUCAGGUGACACCCGACUGACAUCACCGAUUCUCCCACCUUCGAGUCUGGAGGGCCCGUGAGAUCCCCAGUGUGGCCCAUCACACUGGUCAGGGUGAGCAGCCUGAGCUCUGUUUACCCCCUGCCUCCUCUGGCUCUGGGCUAUUUUAUUAGAGGGUUUCACUCAGAAAAUGCUGCUCACAUCAUUAGGUAAUUGACUACCAUCUGUCUAGUCAAGGCUUUUAAGGUUUGUUAGACAGCAGCAGCACCCACAAGGCCGUUAACGUGGUCUCUGGUUCAGGAGAUCAGCAUGAGGCCCACGAAUUCACCUUUCUAACAAGUUCCCAGCUGCUGCUGCUGCUGCUGUCUGGGAACCACAUUUUGCAAGCCACUUGCAACCCUCUUCCUCAACUGUCCCCUCUCCUCCCGCCUAACUCUUGGUCGCGCAGGACGUGACGUUUGGUGAGGCGGAACUCCAUUUUCCCUGACCUGGCAACUCAGCACCGCUGCUCUGUGUGGGUGGAGCCAGCAAGUUCUUUUGACAGAAUUUUAUUAAAGAAAAGUCUCUUCUAGCAGCUUCCUUCUUGGUUUCGUAACCCCCAAACCAGGAGGCGUUCAGGCCAAUGAAAUGCAACCAAAGUACCAGAUGGAAGUUUCCAGAAGCCUUCCUCAGAGGCUGUCCUCGUCUGGUGCUGCCUGUGGAGUGGUCAGAAGUCGUGAGCACAGGUGGAGCACGCCCCUGGACCUGCCCUGAGCGGGAUCCUGAGCCCGCCGACCGCCCCGUGGUGGUGGACCAGUGACCGCUGCCCGAGGAAGGCAUGGCUUGCCUCAGCCAGUGUCAGCCUGGACUCCUGCCACCCGCAGCCACGUCGGAUGGCAACUUCCACGGUGGCAUGUUCUCCUGAUCCCCAUAAAGGUCACGUGACACUGCCAGGGGACUUGUGGCCCUCAGUUACACAUCAGGGCAGCGAGGGUGCCCUGGGCUAAGCAGGUGGACCCAGUGGGUCACAUCAACACUCACUGAGAAUGUUCCGCAGCUCGAGCAGGAGUGGAGUGUCCAAAAGCCAUUUGCAGUGUGGACAGACACCCCUGGCCACUGCCGGCCCUGAGGAUGCAGAGGCCGUGGGCCAGGGAGUGUAGGCUGCCUCCAGAGAGAUGGGCCCUCUGUGACCACAAGGGCCUGAAUUCUGCCAGGGACCCAGAUGAGCCCAGCAGCAGGUCUCCUCCAGAGAGGAGCCGACCCGGCCAGCCCCUUGACUGUGGCCUUGUGAGCACAUGGCAGGGCGUCCGCAGUGCCCACCUGGCCUGGAGCCUGGACGGUGGAGCUGCCACUGGGGGACCAGGAGCCCCAAUAUCUGUGACCAGGGAGCACUCUCCACCCAAGACGCGGGCUGCUUUGACAGAUCCGGCUUCUGUUGCUCCCCCAAAUGUCAAACUGACGCUGUGACCUAGCAUUAGAAUGACACUCUGUUUUGAUUCCCCUGACGUCAGGAUUUAAGUGGACUAGAAACCAGCAAAGGCUUCUGUCUGGUCCCAGGAUCCAGGGGAACAUUUUGGAGAUUUUCCCUCUGGGUGGGCUAGGCCACGCUUGACCAGGGUCCGGUUUCCUAUUAAGCUGCAGAAGUGAGAAAUGGCCGCAUUCACAGAAUCAGUAAAUGCCACCAAGGUAAAGGUCAGACCACGAUGACAUAAAUGCGGCAUCUCCACGGGGCAGCGCAGCGUGCUUUAGAGAAGAGCUCCCGCGGCCCUGCAGCGCUCCUCAGGAGCCUGUUUUGAGAAGCGGAAUCCAACUAGGCCCUGUGGGCUCCGGCUUCCCACCUGCGGCUGCUCUCCCAGGCCAAGCCUCGGGGGCCAGCGUGAGGCCUGUGGCCGGCUCCAGGCUCAGGAUGUGCAGGCCCUCCCGCAGGCUCUCAGCAGCCCACCAAGCCAGCUGCCAGCCAGCGCCUCUCCUGUGGCUACCAGGGACGGAGAAACAAAGGAAGGGGGACCUGGCAGAUCCCCCUGUGACCUGGAGCAGGCAGUGGAGGGAAUGGAGGGCACGGCCGCAGCCCCACCCUAGGAGCCUGCUGUGUGUCCUCAGGUGCAGUUUUGUCCUCUCUGAAGCCUCAACUUCUUCGUCUGUAAACAGAAACAGCAGGGAAGACAAGACGCACAUGCCCUCCAGCCUGCCUCCAUGUAUCCUGUCACUCUGGCUCCGCCCAGCCUGGCUCUCAUGGCCAGCUGGCAUCUAGGAGCUCAGGGUGACACCUUUGUACCCCUCCACAGCUGAGAAUCGAGCUCAGUGCAAACCCUGCCGUUCACUGCUCUGUCGGGGCACCCAGGCCAACAAGGGCCGCCGAGCAGGCACGGAGAGCCCCUGCUCCGGAGCCAGGGCAUGGGCUCCAACCCAGGGCUGGGAGCCACUAGAUGGGUGACCCGGGAACGACGCCCUUCUCCAUCCCUUGGAUUCCUCCUUUGUUCAAGAGGAUAGUGACAGAGUCUCCUCCAGGGUCACACCGGGGUGUGGGGACAGCAGGCGCACAGCAAGUCUCCCUCAGUGCUGGCCAGCAGGCAGUGCUGGUCCUGGGCGGUGGUGGACCGAGGGCAGAGUGGCUCCACAGGGUCUCCCAGGAGCCCGGCACAGCGGGCCCCAGCACCCUGGUGUGCGUCACCGUCUCUGCAGGGAGGGGCUGUUCCGGUGCCAAGUCCUCCGGCCAGGCUGACUCGCUGACCCCCUGACAGCGCUGAGCAGAAAGCAGAGGAGCACAGGGACAUGCCGCUAGUGGCAUUUCUACCAUCAGACGGCAGCGGCAGCUUGGGUAUGGUGUGACAGCGCCCCCCCCAGUCCAGGGGCACACGAUGGGAGGCCUGGUCCCCAUCGUGGUGGUAUUAAAGGUGCUGGAAACCUUAGAGGUGGACUGGGAGUCCUCGGGUCACCGGGGUGUGCACGCGGAAGCCAGCUCUCUCCACCCUGUGGGCUCUCACGAGAGACUUAUGGCACCAGGAGAAAGCCCGCCCUCCCAGCUCUCUCCUGUUCCUGUCCAUCACUUGCUCCCACUCACGUUCCCACCAUGGGUCCACACUACCAGGUGAUGCAGUCAAGGAGUGGCAAAGCCCUUGCUGUGCAGUUUGGACUUCAAAUCUCCUGAAUUAUGAGCCAAGCAAACCUCUUGUCUUCAUAAAUAUCUUUUGUCAGGUAUUUCAUUAUAGUGAUGGAUAACUGACUAAUAUGCAGACACAAUAAACAUAAUGUUAAGAAUAUAGACAAUAGUGAAAUCACUAGGAAGCCAUAAGCUUUAAGUAUAUCACCUUUGUUUUUAAUAUAAUUGUAAAUAUAAUACAAAAUUCUAAUAAUUGCUAAGUUUAAAUUUUAAUAACAGGCUCUCAGGCUUUUCUGAGAAUUUAACCAUUUGCUCUUGCGAGCGGGUAUAAGCUAACUGCGGCACACAACUGACUGUACACAUGUAAUUCUUCCCAUCACUCAGGUGUGCACGCUCCCAGCCCUCAGGAGAAUGAAUAGAAACACGAGAGCUUGCUCAGAAAUGUAGUGCAGACCACCGUCCAGGCAAACACUGCAGUCAGAGCCCAGGAGGUAACCCGUGGCUUCCCGGCCGACACUUGGCCAAUCUGGGUGAACGAGGCCCCCGAGGGAGAGCUGGAGUCCCCGACUGUACUGGACGUCACUGUCUCAAUACUCCUGGGAAGAGACGGGAUGCUAGCCUAGACCCUGGGAGCUCUGGAACGGGUGAUCAUUUAGAAACAAGACUUGGGGGCUGGGCUGGAGGGACGAGCGUAGCUGGAUGCACCGCCCAGCGCCACUGUGGUGAUGGUGGUCACAGUGCUGGGUGUGUGCUGCCCGCUGCCCAGCCCUCCUGCCCACAGCUCACAGGAAAAAAGACAGUCUGACACUCAGAGAAAUCCGUCUCUCCUGGUCACAUUCCUUCGCUCCACUGAUUCAGCCCGAUCUCAGUCUCUCGGUUACCCUGGGCCGUUUCCUGGAGCAGGUCCACCCCAGUCCCGGGCAUCGCCUCGAGCACCUGAUCUUCUUGAGACUGUCCCGGGUUAGCCCUGAACACGCAGAGGCUCAGAGACCCUCACCCAGGUAGAGACCAGUGCCCAAGGCCCCCUAGGGCCCCCAGCCCGUGCCCCAGGGCUUCCGCCAGCUGGGAGAGCCCAGGACGCCCAUGUCCCCAUCCCUCAGGUCGUGAGCAUGAAGAGCAAAACGGACCCCGGGGCCCGAAUUGGAAAUGGAGAGGCCCCUGCAGGUCCUCAUCCCUUCCGGAGGACGUCCUGACGUGGCCCAUAAACGUCGACCCCAGUGGGCAAAGAGGACCUUGAACCGGGCCAGCACCCCUCUGGGCCCCUUCUGCCUGCUCCUCUCCCGCCAGCCUGCCCGGGAUCUAGCAGAGGGAAGUAACUGUUAGAGCCCACGUGCUGGACGCCUCCAGGGGCUCUCCACCCAGACCACGGACAGGGGAAGACGCUCACCUGCACCAGGAGGAGGGACCUCUGAGCUCUCUAAUGCCCCCCAAAGACUGAGCUUCUAGGGACAGCCCAGGCAGCACUGGUCCUUGCUCUCCUGGUCCUCCAGCCCCUCAGUUCUCCUCAGCUCUCUUCCCCAGGCCCCCACACCCACCAGGCUCCCCUCCCCGUGCCCCUGACUGUCAUCCGAGCUGACCCACUUACUCUACCAGCACCUCAGAGGCAAAUCCCUCCCCCAAACUUUGAGUGUGACGUUUUCUUCCACCGGGUUUCGUUUCUAAGUCUCAGCUGGGCUCUUCUGCAUUCUGAAGUGCUCCUGCCUGAAGGUUCCUAGUCCUUCCUCCAGUGGCAUCCAAGUAUGGUCCCUGCCUGGUGCAGAGGACGGCCACCUGCCAGGCCACGGAUCUGGACCGAUUCCCCACCAACACACCUGGCUUUGAGAAGGACAAGUAGCCAGGCGCAGUGGCACUUGCCUGGAAUACCUGCAGCUCAGGAGGCAGAGACAGGAGGAUCACCCGUUCACAGCCAGCCUCAGCAACAGCGAGGUGCUAAGCAAGUCAGGGAGACCCUGUCUCUAAAGAAAACAUAAAAUAGGGCUGGGGAUGGGGCUCAGGGUUGAGUGCCCCUGAGCUCAACCCCUGGUAAGCCCCUCCCAAGGACUAGAUGCUGGGACACGGGCCACACAGGGAUUCUGAAGCCCAGAGGGGUGGAGACGUCGCUCUCCUUCAGGCGGCCAUCCAGGUAAGUGGCAGGUUGGUGGCUCAUUCAGGCCCGUGGCAUCACUGAAGGGUGUGGUCCGUGUGCACAGGAGGAAGACGGGCGACCGCAUCUGGGCUGCCACCCGUGUGACAGAGGGUCCUGGAGGAGCAACUUCGGUGUCCCCAGGUGCCAGCACAGCAGUCACUGUCACUUCUGCUCACGUCCCCUGGAGAGGACCGAGCCCCAUGGCCACACCUGACCACAACAGAGGCUGCGAAGGAGGGGCGAGGCAGCCACCCAACCGUCUGGUCAUCUCCGUGAAGAGCAGAGAACAGGUGACAGAAACAGGUCUCUGUGACAGUGUUCAAGGGCACGUUGUGCCAUGAACAGGCCACUGUGGCCCACCGUCUCCUGACUGUGCGGCCUUCACCUGCUGUGGACGUGGUGGUGUGGUCUGCGUCUUGCUGGUGGGGGGCAAGACGUGGACAGUGCCUGGCACGCCGGGGAGCGCGGCCCGGGCCCCUGCCGCGGACACUCUGUCGUUCCUGGGUCUUGUUGUUCCCUUCUUGGAUACCCGUCCCCUGGAGUGUGGUUCCUGCUCUGACCUUCUGUGACUUUCCUCCUGAGCUGCACAGGGUGGGCUGCUGUGCCUCCCUCCCUGGGGGCGUCACCGCGGCGCCCUGCCUUCUCGGGCGGGUGCUGCAGACCACGGGUGCGGAGGGACUGGCUGGCUGUCCGGCAGGAUUCCUGUUUAGACUGACUUUCUCUGACGUGACCUGAUUUCCCUGCAGGGUCUCCACAGAUGGCAGCCCCCCAGGCCCCAGAUGAUUUCCAGUCUCCCUUCAAGGAAAGGGCAACCCGAGGGGGGCCUUUUAACUCCCCACCGUCCUGCGGUCUCGGUUCCUGUUUCAGACGGGACGCCAUCCAGUACUGUGUCUGCCCUCCCCCAGGCCCCCCAGCCCAGCUGCCACCCCCUCCCCAGGGUGGCUGCCCCUCCCCGGCACCUGAGGGCCUGCUCCCUCUCUGCCAGCUCAGUCGAGUGUCUGAAUACCAUCUUGAGCGUCCCGGGCAGGAGUGGGAGGGCCCACAUCUGCUCUGUCUGCCACCCUCCUCACACACCUGCUCUGUGCCUGGUGACAGAGAAGGAUCCCUCGGGCCGGGGGGAGAAAAAGGAACUCUGCAUUUAUUUGAGAGGAAUGUGCACAUCAGCUGCUUGGGGUGACCUAGGGAGAAGAAAGGUCACCCUGACCCCCGCUGCAGGGGCCUCCAGAACCUGCCCUCCCCACGUCCCACAGUGUGCCGUGUCCUGCCUGACGGCCGACCAGCCUCCCCAGGGAAAUAGAAGUUCAGGGAACUGUCUGUGUUGAGGGCCCUAGAAGCAGAAGAAUUAGGGCCAGAAAAGACACCAAAAAAUGCCGGGAUUGGGAGGUAGCCCAGUGGAGAGCACUUGCCUGGGGCGAGCACUAGGACGUCCUGUGGUCCUUCUUCAGAAUCCAGGCUCUAGCCUCAGAGUCCAGUUGGGAAGUAAGAAAGGCAGCCAGAGGGGACCUGGGACAGCGCGGAGGUCAGGUGACUCACAGGAGCAGCACAGCCUGUGGGUGGGCAGAUCCAGAAUCCCUGCUCCUGACUCUCAGGAAGUGGGGCAGACAACAGAGACUCAGGUAGAGGGGUAAGGGCCACUUCCAUGCCAAAGGGACUCAACUCAAGAAGACUUUCCCUCCAGAAGAGAACAAAGGGAGGCGGGGACCACAAAAGGCGCAUUUCUUUAAAUAACCCAAAAGGAGACAGUAAAACCUGGUGACAUGCAGGAAGACGGUGCACCCCACAGUGCUCAGCCAGUGGGAGCCGGGGAGAGGCCUUGCACACCAGAGGAGCAAGUGCUGCUGGUAGCCCUCUGGGUGCUCUGCUCCCCAGACACCAGAUCUUGAAGUCACUGAAGCCUGGUGGUUGGUUUGCCGUGCUGUGCCCCAUGUCCUAGGACCGUUCUUCGGGUGUGGGUUGGGUGUGGGCAGGUGGGCGUGUUCCUCGCACUGAGCCAGGCCAGGCCCUGAGUUCCAUCCCCAGUCCUGAAAAAGAAAAAAUGCACACAGGGAAGGGGCCAUGUCCAGGUCCCAGGGUCAGACACUGGAUGAAGGACUGAGUGGACUGUGGCCCAGGAAAUACCAGAGUGAAAGACCAGAGGAGACCUGAGGGCCACCCCAGCACUGGAGCCUGGGGCACCCCAGGGCCUUGUCCCUAGGGUGCCCUGGGGGUCCUUGACAGGUGGACAGGGGGACAAUUGUUGUUAAUAAGUGUCACUACAACUCACGCAGCACGUCACAGCCCAGAAAACAUCACGUCUAGACAAGCGUCCCACCAGAGUCCUGUGGCAGGAGCACCCUGUGAGAUCUUACUCACCGCCUGGAAGCAGAUACAGCCACGCGCUGCCGGGAGGGACCACAGUGACGGACCCCACACACGACAGGGUCCUGCAAGACGCAACGGAGCUCAAGAUCCCUGUGACCUGGAGAUGACACACCGUCACCAUGCCGUCGGGCAUUACUGAUGUGACACGCCCACUGCCAGUGCCACCAAAGCAAGGCACUGAGAGCCAGCAGGGGCCAAGGUGUGACCAGCGCUGAGCUGCUGUGCUGCCGCUGUGGGGGGCCCUCCUGGACGUUUCGCAAGUUUCAGAGGGACCUCUGCUUACGAGAAUCAAGGCUCGCUCUGAAGUGCGCACGCUCUGCCAGCCACAGCCUCCAGUGUCUCGUGUGUGCUGCCUCCUGGGCUGGCAUCAAAGGCCACACCAGGGGACUGCCUGGACGUCUGGGGCCCUGCGACAUUCUGGGCACUCCCUAUCUCCUGCAAUUAUGCCAUCGCCUGAGGAUGGCAUCCCACAACACAGCCGUCCUCAAGAGACGCGGAGGUGUACCCUUUCCUUGUGCACAGCCUUCCUGUAGCUAAUGUUACGUUUUUAGAUUAAAAAUAUUAAAAUCCUAA